rnacentral:lncRNA from 10 species
CCCACCGCCCAGCCCAGUCCGGCCUGGCUUCCCCCCUGCCCCGGAGCUGGCCCAGGUCCAGGGGAAAAAAUUCCAUCCAGCCCCGGGGAGGAGGAGGGAGCGGGAGGGGGAGGCCGGGCCAGAGAAGCCUGACGCAGAGGAGGGAAGGGACAAAAGAGGCCGGGAGGCGGCGGGGCCGGCGCUCCCGCUCGCCCGCCCUCCUCCUCGGCCAGUCUCGCUCCUCCCCGGCUUUCCCUAGCUCCCCUCCGCCUCUCCGCCCCGUCCUGUCCCUCGCUGGCCUCCCUCCCUCUUCUCUCCUGCGCCUCCUCCUCGCUCUGUGCGUGCUCUCUCGCUCUCUCUCUCCCUCUCUCCCUCCCUCCCUUCUCUCUCGUUCUCUCUCUCUCUCUCUCCCUCUUUCCCUCCUCCUCUCUGCUCCUGUCAUUCUUGGUUGCUUUUGCUGCCUCUCUGUGUCUCUUUCCGUCUGUCCUCCCUUCUGUCUCUGCACAUCUGUCCUUCCUUUCGCCCUCUCCCUAUCUCCAUCCUCUUUCUCUGCCUGUGGGGCAUUAUCUGUGUCUCCCAUUUAUUCUUCCCUUUUCUCUGUUUCUCUCCCUCCCUUCCUGUCUCUGUGUCUCUGUUCUUCCUCUCUCUCGCUUUCUCCUCCCCUCUCUCCCCGAACCAGUCAGGGUCUGCCCGUCUCUCUCUCCCCCUUCCUGCUCUCCCAGCUUCGCCCCCACCAGCUUUAGUAUCUCCACCCCCCACCCCCACCCACUGGGGGCUCAAAGGUGAAUCAGACCCGAAUCUGCCCUUGCAGAUGGAGCUCACAGUCUGAUGGAAGAGACAGAGCCAGCCGCAGACAGUCCCAAUCCCGGGUGAUCUGGGUAUGACACAGGGAGAGGCCAGAGGCUGUGAGAGCCCAGGGCGGGAGGAAUCCUGGCAGCUGGAGACGGCAGAGAGGACCUCCAGAGAAGGCGUGGUUGUGGCAUGACCUCCACUAAGGCCCUUCCAGGCAGAGGGCACAGCUGAAGCGAAGGCCCAAGGCAGGAAACCAAGGAGGUGCUGGGAGGACAACAAAGCCCUUAAGUCUGACUAGAGCCUCCGAAGCCAGGAGCCAAGGAGCACAGGAGAUGAGGCUGGUGGGGCGAGCGGGCGGGGUCAGAUUCUUAGGGAGUUUCAGGCCAGGCUGGGAACUUAGCCUUCUGAGGGUGACAGGGAGCCCUGGAAGGUUGUGAGCAAGGGGCGGGGACACGGUUAUAGCUGAAUGUCAGACCCCGCUGAGGCUGUGUGGAGUGGAGGGGGAGAGACGGGUGGAGGCUGGGGAGGAGGCCCCCUCCCUGCAGUUUGCGGGCUAGGACCUGGGGAGAGAGGAAGGGGUGGGGCAGGAAUGUGAGGAGCUGGAGAUGGCUGGAGACUGCUGGGCACUGGGGGCAGAGAACAGGAACCUGUGGGCGGGAAACAGGUAGGAAAACUACAACUCCCUGAGUCUGGCCCAGGAACGGAUGGGGCAGGAGUUGCUUUCAAUGGGGAACUAGGAGGAAGAAGAGGGUAGAGGAGAGAGAUGCUGUGGGCAUCUGAGAACUUAGUGGACAUUAAGAGCCAGGGAAAACGUUCAGGAUGCAUGGUGCUGGGCUUUCAACAGUGCAUCUCCCUCCCUCCCUAUCCUCCAGCCACCCAGUUCUCCUCUCUGGGGACAGCAUAUAUUCACUAAUUUCUUAUGUAUCUUUCCAGAGGAAUUUUAUACAUCUAUGCACAUAUAUACCACCCUCCUCUUUUCUGUCCCCUGAUAGGAUCACAUUAUUCUGCACCUUGGUUUUUUUUUUUUUUUUUACAUGAUAUCCAAAGAUCCUCCCAUAUCUAGGCUUAUAGAACCUCCUCAUUCAUUUUAAUAGUGAUAUAAUAUUCCAUUGUAUUCAUCUAUUUAUUCCUAGUGUAUUCAGUUAAUUGGGAGAUUGGGAGGUUUUUUAUGUCAAGAAACUAAUGGUUAUGCAUAUUGAUAUUUACAGAUUUGCUUAUGUAUGUAUGUAUGUAUGUAUGUAUGUAUGUAUGUAUGUAUGUAUUUAUUUUUGAGACGGAUUGCCCAGGCUGGAGUGCAGUGGCAUUAUCUCAGAUCACUGCAACCUCUGCCUUCCAGGUUCAAGCCAUUCUCCCACCUCAGCCUCCCACGUGGUUGGAACUACAGGCCUGCGCCACCAGGCCCGGCUAAUUUUUGUGUAUUCUGUAGAGAUGGGGUUUUGCCACGUUUGCUGGACUGGUCUUGAACUUCUGACCUCAAGUGAUCCUCCCACCUUGGCUGAGCCACCACACCUGGCCCAAAUUUGCUGAUUUUUAAAGUGAUUUUGUCCAAUGCUUUUAAGCCUCUAAACCCAGAUAUUCGAUAAAUGCUUACUUCUAGAUCCUUUAAAAUUUGUUGAUAAUUACUAACAAUGGGAUAAUAAUAAUGACAACAGAUACCCUUUAUUGAAUGACUACUUGGAGCCAGUUCCUGGGAUGAGUAUUUGUUAUACAUUAUAUCAUUGAUUACACAGAAACCUUAUUAUUAGAAACUAUUAUUAUCCCAAUUGUAAGGAUGGAAUACUGAAUAGGAUGCAGUUCUGAAUAGCGAGUUGCCCAAGCUCACAAAGUAUGUGAUGGAGCUAGAGAUUCAAACCCAGGCCUCUCUGGCUCCUUCUUUGGGGUGGGCUUGCUCUGGGAAAAUAUGCUAUUUCUAAGGAUUGACACUGGGUACAUUUAAACUUGUCAUGCACACAAAUUCAUGUAUGAUUAAGAAGGACCCUUUGUCAGACCCCUCACUUUCACUUACGAUCUAGAGUUACUGUCAUUCUACAUUCACCCUGGAUGCCCUGUAGACAGAUCAGGACAGGCACCACAUCACAGUCCUUGUCCUGGCCCUGAUCCUGUUGUGUUGUGAUUUUCUACGUCUGGGUCUGUCUUUGGGAAUUUACUGAGGGCACAGUCUGGGUCUGAGUCAUUUCUGUGUCCUCAAUAUCACUCCACCCAGGCAUGGCUCAGAGCAGGGGCUCAGGAAAAUGUUUGCUAAGUGAAUGAAUGAGGAGAUGAGUGAAUAAUAAAUGACUUGUGGAUUAGGCUGGGACUUGCUUAAGCCCCCCAGGAACAGUGACCAUAAUUCCCAUUAGUUUCUGAAACAUAAGGCCUCUGUUCUGUUCUCAUCAGUUAGCAAGUCACAGGGACCACUGGUUCCUUCAUUCUCUGAAAUACAGGGCUCCAAAUCUCUCAGCACAUAAGACUCAUCUACUGCAAUUCCUACAAAUAUCCAGAACUCAGGAUCCAUCAUUGCCUUCACUCCCUGAAACAGGGGGCCACCAUUCCCAUCAGACAUUGGCACACAAGUACAGGUUGAGCAUCCUUAAUGCAAAAAUCUCGAAUCUGAAAUGCUCCAAAAUCAAAAACUUUUUGAGCACCGACGUAACGUCAGAAGUGAAAAAUUUCAUUCCAUCACUUGAUCUCAUGUGAUAGAUUGCAGUCAAAACUUUGUUUCAUGGGGCUGGGCACAGUGGCUUAUGCCUGUAAUCCAGCUGUUUGGGAGGCUAAGGCAGGAGGAUCACUUGAGCCCAGGAAUUUGAGACCAGCCUGGGCAACAUAGUGGGAUUCCCAUCUCUACAAUAAAAAAAUUUAAAACUUAGCAGGGCAUGGUGAUGCAUGCUUCUUCUCCCAGCUACUAGGGAGGCUGAGGUGGGAGGAUUGCUUAAGCCCAGGAAGUUGAGGCUGCACUCCAGCCUGGUUGAUAGAGUGAGACCCUGUCUUAAAACAAACAAAAAACCUUGUUUCAUGCACAAAAAUAUUGUAUAAAAUUAUCUUCAGGCUAUGUGUAGAAGGCAUAUAUAAAUGAAAUGAAAACAAAUGAAUUUUGUGUUUGGACUUGGGUCUCAUCCCCAAAUAUCUGAUUUUAUAUAUAUGAAAAUAGUCCAAAAUACAAAAUAAAAAAAUCAAACCUGAAACACUUUCUGUCUCAAGUAUUUUGGAUAAGGGAUGCUCAACCUAUAUCACCAUCUUUAUCAGUCUCUGCUACCCAAUAUUGUAAUUCUCAUACUUCUUAGACACAGGGGCCACCAUUCUCAUCAACUGCUGAAACUCAAGUUCCACUAUUAUUACCUCUUGGAACAGCACUUCAAAGGAAAAUAGAAACUUCCUACCCUUCACAAGGUCAUCCCAAGUUCCUGAAACAGGAACUGGUAGACAGGAGGACACCUUAACCUACCUUGAAUUAGGUCUGAGUCAAGGACUUACACGUUGAUACUAUAGAACAGGCGGCACCGGGUCAUGAGGAACAUCAAAGUAGCAGAGAAUCCUUCCAUGUGAGGGAUCAACCCUAAAACCAAGAUAAUCCGAUAGCACCACCAGACAAUCCUUCCAUGUGGGGGGAUCAACCCCAAACCCAAGAUAAUCCUAGAGCACCACAUAAUCCCUGCAGGUGGGAUAAUCCCCACACUGGCAGAGCCUAAAAUCACGAGAUGAUCUAAAUCAAGCUUGUCCAACCCACAGCCCAUGGGCCUCAUGUGGCCCAGGAUGGCUUUGAAUGUGGCCCAACACACAUUCAUAAACUUUCUUAAAACAUUGAGGUUUUGGGUUUUUUUUGCAAAUUUUUUUAAGCUCAUCAGCUAUCAUUAGUGUUAAUGUAUUUUAUGUGCAGCCCAAGACAAUUCUUCCAGUUUGGCCCAGGGAAGCUGAAAGAUUGGACACCCCUGAACUAAAAGCAGCAGAUUCUCCUAUUACACCAUUAAAUAACCCCAAAUGGUAAUUUGCCCCUGGUGGACUUGUAGGAAGUAGAGACAGGGUCCCCAUUGUUGUCGGGUCUGGGCUGGGGGAAGUGGGGAGGCAACAGAUCUCAUUUCCACAAUUAAUUAUUUUCUGAACAAAGGGCAUGGGAAAAUGGGUGUGAUGUUUUGGGGAGGGUUUCCCUAUAGCCUUUCUCUUCACCUUGGGCCAUACCUUCUUUUUGUUUGAUGAGUGAAGGACCUUCAGCUGCUCUGCUGUUUACAUCUAAGAAAAAGGUAGGGAAGGUUACACUGAGGUUCAAGGAGACAGACUAGUUAUAGUUUUUGCAAGUCCGUCAGCUGCCAUCUCCUCCUACCUCUGAUAAUAGAUCAUCUCUUUCCUUUAAGUAACCCACUCCACAUGACUCUGACAAGAAUGUCCAAGCACUGAUGCCCCUCCUUCUCCCCCCAAAAAAACCUAGUCUGGGCAUCUGGGUAUAUGACACAAAAUAGGCCAACCAGAAUAUUUAUCAUUCAUUGUCUGUGAGCCCUGACAGAGCUGGUUAGAAUCCAAGAUUUUAUUUUUGAUCUUGAUACUUUAAUUUUAUGUCUUCUAAAAUAUAAAUGUAUACAUAUGCAUUUGUACACAUAUAUAUUGUUUUAGUUUCUGAAGAACAGAGUCAUACUACAUAUGCCAAGGUGAUUAAGAGCACAGAUUCUGAAGCCCGAUGGCUCAGGUUUGAAUCCUGGCUCAGCCAUUUUACUAGCUAUGUCUCUCUAUGUCUCAGUUUCAUCAUCAGUAAAAUGGGUGUAAUAAUAAUAGUACCUAUAUCAUGGGUUGAGACAUAAGGAUUAAAGGAGUUAAUGUAUGGAAAGUGCUUAAAACAGUGCCUGGCACACAAUAAACCAUAUAAAAGAAUUAUCGAAUGUUAUGCCUACAAAUUAAUACAGAGCUAGCUCUUUAUUCUAAUUUAUUCAUACACAUGCACAGAAUUUUAUAUUAACAGGGCAAUUUAUUCUUAUGAAGGUAUUUUUACUGUAUUCUUUCCCAUCCUCAUUUAUUUUUUUCUUUGGUUACCUUGAUUGACCCCUCCCUUCCUACCCAUUCACCAGGUGCUUCUCCUCCCAAAGUUAUCUGUCAUACCUGUUGUGAGUUAAAUUGUGUCCCCACCCCACCAAAUAUAUAUGUUAAAGUUUGAAUCCCCUGUACCUGUGAAUGUGACCUUCUUUGAGAGCCUUUACAGAUGUAAUCAAGUUAAAAUGAAGGCAUACUGGAUUAGAGUGGGCCCUAAAUCCAAUGACUGGUAAUCUGAUAAGGAGAGAGAUAUUUGAAGAUGCAGAUAAAAUACUUGGGAAGAAGGCCAUGUGAUGAUGGAGGCAGAGAGAUUCAAGUGAUGCAUCUACAAGCCAAGAAACACCAAGGAUGACUGGCAACCACCAGAAGCUAGAACAAGAAACCAAGGGGCCUACAGAGGAAGCUGGUCCUGCUGAUACCUUCAUUUCUAACUUCUAGCCUCCACAUCUGCGAGAGAAUACAUUUCUGUUUUUGCUUGUUUGUUUUGAGGUGGAGUCUCCCUCUGCCACCCAGGCUGGAGUGCAGUGGCAUGAUCUUGGCUCACUGCAGUCUCCACCUCCUGGGCUCAAGUGAGUCUCCUGCCUCAGCCUCCCAAGUAGCUGGGACUACAGUCACCUGCCACCAUGCCUGGCUAAUUUUCGUAUUUUUAGUAGAGACAGGAUCUUACCAUGUUGGCUAGGCUGGUCUCAAACGCCUGACCUCAAGUGAUCUGCCCGCCCUCAGUCUCCCAAAGUACUGGGAUUACAGGCAUGAUACACUGUGCCCGGAUAAUUUCUGUUGUUUUAAGCUGCUCAGUUUAUAAUACUUUAUUACAACAGCCCUAGAAAACCAAUAUAG